AUUGAACGCUGGCGGCAGGCCUAACACAUGCAAGUCGAGCGGAUGAGGAAAGCUUGCUUUUCGAUUCAGCGGCGGACGGGUGAGUAAUGCCUAGGAAUCUGCCUGUUAGUGGGGGAUAACUCGGGGAAACUCGGGCUAAUACCGCAUACGUCCUACGGGAGAAAGUGGGGGAUCUUCGGACCUCACGCUAACAGAUGAGCCUAGGUCGGAUUAGCUAGUAGGUGAGGUAAUGGCUCACCUAGGCGACGAUCCGUACCUGGUCUGAGAGGAUGAUCAGUACCACUGGAACUGAGACGCGGUCCAGACUCCUACGGGAGGCAGCAGUGGGGAAUAUUGGACAAUGGGCGAAAGCCUGAUCCAGCCAUGCCGCGUGUGUGAAGAAGGUCUUCGUAUUGUAAAGCACUUUAAGUUGGGAGGAAGGGUAUUCACCUAAUACGUGGGUACUUUUACGUUACCAACAGAAUAAGCACCGGCUAACUCUGUGCCAGCAGCCGCAGUAAGAC
rnacentral:rRNA from 1 species